CCUACGGGGGGCUGCAGUGAGGAAUAUUGGUCAAUGGUCGCGAGACUGAACCAGCCAAGUCGCGUGAGGGAAGACGAUCCUAUGUAUUGUAAACCUCUUUUGUCGGGGAGCAAAAGCUGCCACGCGUGGCGUUCCGAGAGUACCCGAAGAAAAAGCAUCGGCUAACUCCGUGCCAGCAGCCGCGGUAAUACGGAGGAUGCGAGCGUUAUCCGGAUUUAUUGGGUUUAAAGGGUGCGCAGGCGGAAGAUCAAGUCAGCGGUAAAAGUGAGAGGCUCAACCCCGUCGAGCCGUUGAAACUGGUUGUCUUGAGUGGGAGAGAAGUAUGCGGAAUGCGUGGUGUAGCGGUGAAAUGCAUAGAUAUCGCGCAGAACUCCGAUUGCGAAGGCAGCAUACCGGCGCUCAACUGACGCUGAUGCACGAAAGUGUGGGUAUCGAACAGGAUUAGAUACCCGGGUAGUC
rnacentral:rRNA from 1 species